UGGGGAAUAUUGGACAAUGGGCGCAAGCCUGAUCCAGCCAUGCCGCGUGAGUGAUGAAGGCCCUAGGGUUGUAAAGCUCUUUCACCGGUGAAGAUAAUGACGGUAACCGGAGAAGAAGCCCCGGCUAACUACGUGCCAGCAGCCGCGGUAAUACGUAGGGUGCGAGCGUUGUCCGGAAUUACUGGGCGUAAAGAGCUCGUAGGCGGUUUGUCACGUCGUCUGUGAAAUCCUAGGGCUUAACCCUGGACGUGCAGGCGAUACGGGCUGACUUGAGUACUACAGGGGAGACUGGAAUUUCUGGUGUAGCGAUGGAAUGCACAGAUAUCAGGAAGAACACCGAUGGCGAAGGCAGGUCUCUGGGUAGUAACUGACGCUGAGGAGCGAAAGCAUGGGUAGCGAACAGG
rnacentral:rRNA from 1 species